UGCCGGGUCGUCUAGUGGCAGGACCCUGGACUUUGAAUCCGGGUACGGGCGUUCGAAUCGCUCCCCGGCAACCA
rnacentral:tRNA from 1 species